rnacentral:rRNA from 1 species
GGAAUAUUGGUCAAUGGGCGAAAGCCUGAACCAGCAACGCCGCGUGCGCGAUGAAGGCCUUCGGGUCGUAAAGCGCUUUUGGGAGGGAUGAAAAUGACAGUACCUCCCGAAUAAGGAUCGGCUAACUACGUGCCAGCAGCCGCGGUAAGACGUAGGAUCCAAGCGUUAUCCGGAAUUACUGGGCGUAAAGGGCGUGUAGGAGGUUGGGCAAGUCGGCCAUGAAAGCUCCCGGCUCAACUGGGAGAGGCUGGUCGAUACUGCCUGGCUAGAGGGCAAGAGAGGGAGGUGGAACUCCCGGUGUAGUGGUGAAAUGCGUAGAUAUCGGGAGGAACACCAGUGGCGAAGGCGGCCUCCUGGCUUGUACCUGACUCUGAAACGCGAAAGCAUGGGUAGCAAACAGGAUUAGAAACCCUGGUAGUCCAUGCCAUAAACGAUGUCAACUGGGUGUCGGCGAAGUAAAAUUUGUCGGUGCCGAAGCUAACGCGUUAAGUUGACCGCCUGAGGACUACGAUCGCAAGAUUAAAACUCAAAUGAAUUGACGG